AUAGAUGAUCGCAUGAGGGUUUGAAACCCCGGUUUAUCGCAUCGUGACGCUAUGUUAGGGCGUGACUUGCACCCCAUUGCAGAUACGGGCUUGUAAAUGAUUUGGGAUUGUGACGUGGUCCAUCCUGAAAGCUGAACAAAUUAUUGGCGUCUGAUACGCAUAGUGUGGUGUUGAUAAUUGGGCUUAAUGCCAUGUUAGGGGCCUUGCGCCAAUCUGUAGUAACCUUCUAUGGUGAAUAUCUGUGUGAUGACAUAAUUGCAUAAUCAUUGUUCUCAGUCCUGUGUUUAAUCACUGAAAUCAAAUGCUAAGUCACUUUCCCUGAAAUUUAAUAAUUAAAUUAUAUUUGCCUUAAAAAUCGGAAAAAUUGGAAUUUAGAUUGAAUACGUUUAUGUGACUCAUAUGCAUAUUGUGGACUGAGCAUGGGUCGGGCUGCACGAUCCGCAGCGGUACAUGCAUACUAUGGACUGGCUGGUUGGCUCAGGCUGCAUGCUGCAACGGUUAUAUAUUGAAAUUGAGGCCGAGUGCCUGUUCUUAGCCGAUACAUGGGUGAUAUUGCGCUUGGGCUGAAGGAGCCCCUCCGGAGUCUGUACACACCCCAGUGAGCGCCAUCGACGUUAAAUGGAUCGGCUGCACGUUCCGCAUCGAAUUCAUGGGCAUUGCAUUGCAUUUUUAUCUGAUACUUGGUUGUUGUUGUGAUACUGUUAUGAUGUUAGCAUGUAGCUAAGUUAUAGGAUUGUUAGUUAUAGCUUUGCGUUGUGGUCUUUCGUGGAUUUCUUACUUUCAGUCAUUUUCUAUACUUAUUAUCCAUUGAGUCGGUAGUACUCACCCCUACUCCCUGCACCUUGUGUGCAGAUUCAGGUACACCGGAGGCUUAGUUGAUUCUCGUAGUCUCCAGAGACAUUUCAGAGUCGUUGAGGUAGCUCCAUGACGUUCGAAAGACCUAGGUGCUCUUCAUUAUUUCUUCAUUUUAUCAUUAUUAUAUACGUUCCCAUAUUUUGGUUUGGUAUUCAGAUACAAUUAUUAUUACUCAGUUUUAUUUAGAGGCUCUAGACUCGUGAUGUCCCAGAUUAUAUGGGUGUGCUUUUGAAUUCCGUAUUCCACUUAUAUCAUAUUAUUAAUAUUUUUGGAUUAUUAUUUUGUUAAUUUCUCGGUUCGAGACUUAAAUAUUUUUGUUGGAAGCGAUUGUUGGUCGGGCUUACCUAGCUUUAGGGUUGGGUGCCAUCACGACCGGGUUUGGGUCGUGACAAGUUGGUAUCAGAGCCUAGGUUACUAGGCCUCAGGAGUCAUGAGCCGGUUUAGUAGAGUCUUGUUUGUGGGUGUGUCAUGCACCACACUUAUAAGCAGGAGGCUACAAAACUUUUAGGAAACAUCUCACUUUCUUGAAAUUCAUAUUGUGCAGUUUGAGAACGUGAAAACUAGAAUUCUAUAUUCUAUUCUCUCGCAGAUGGAGAGAACUCGUGCUAAUGGACGUGGAGGACGACCACCAGUACCACCCGCUAGAGAUCGUAGACGCGGUCGUGGUGGUGGAUGAGGCGGACCAGCAGGGGAAGCACCUGCAGACCCACCAACUGCCUAGGUCCAGGAUCAGCCUCCAGGUGUUGAUGCUCCAGCUGAACCUAUUCAGGCACCGGCAGUGCCCAUCAUGAUUCUUGGUCUCCAGGAGGCUUUGGCCCAGAUUUUGUCCGUCUGCACUGGCGUGGCUCAAGCGGUUUCAGCCAGUACAGUAGCGGCUACUUCUCAGACCAGGGGUGGUAAUCAAGCCCUCGAUGCUCGCACUCCCGAGCAGGUUGUUCAGGGAUUACAGACACCUGGGGUAGCUCCAGUUCAGCCAGUUGCUCCAGUUCAGCCAGUUGCUCCAGUUCCGCCAGUUCAGCCAGUUACUCCAGUUCAGCCAGUUGCACCGGUUGUUCCAGUUGCGCCGGUCGCACGUGUUCCAGCUCAUGUCGUCCCAUCUAUGCCAGAUGAUGAACAACGGUGGUUGGAGAGGUUCGGUAGGCUCCAGCCUAUGACUUUUUGUGCUGCUGAGGGCGAGGAUGCCUAGGAUUUUCUCGAUAAAUGCCAGCGUAUGCGUUGCACGGGGGGUAUUCUGGAGUCCACUGGAGUGGCUUUUACCUCUUUUCAGUUCACAGGAGCUGCAUUUACUUGGUGGGAAGAGUUCGAGAGGCGUAGGCCUAUUGGGGCAGUGCCCCUCACUUGGCAGCAGUUUUCCACGGUAUUUUUGGGGAAAUAUAUGCCCAGUAUCACAGUGAGGAGCUGCGUCGUCAGUUUGAGUGGUUGACUUAGGGUGAUAUGUCAGUGACUCAGUAUGAGUUAUGGUUUACUCAGCUGGCUAGGCACGCUAUGUGGAUGAUCCCGACAGAUAGAGAGAGGAUCAGGACAUUUAUAGAUGGCCUCAACUAUCCGAUCCAUAUAUUGAUGACUAGAGAGAGGGCUACAGCAGUUACUUUUGAGGAGGUUGUUGAUGCGGCUCGUCUGAUUAAGGCAGAUCACCGCCGGGAGCGUGCGGAGAGAGAGGUUAAGAGGCCUCGAGGUUCAAGUAAUUUCAGCGGCGCUCCAUCUAGGGGCCAUUUACAGUAGGGUAGAGGUCGUUCCUUCAGACCUCCUCAGUCCGGACGCACAGAGUCCAGUGGAGCCUCUUCAGGCUGGGGCCAUCAGAGUCAACAGUAGAGUCAGCCUGCAUUGAGUGCUCUUCCAGCUUAGAGCUCUGCUCCUGCUCUUUCAGAUCAGAGUUUGCCCGCAGUGAGGGGUUCUCAUCAGUGCCGUUCUCUAACUUCAGUUCGUUGCUAUGAUUGUGGUGAGUUGGGUCACGUAAGAAAGCAGUGCCCUCAACCCCAUAGCUGGCAGCCUCAGCAGAGGGAUCAGCCCUCGUCUUCUGCACAGGUUUCUUCAGCUUCCACUAAGACAGCCAGGGGUAGAGGCCAGGAAGCCAGAGGUCGUCGCAGGCGUGAGGACCAUACUCGAGGUGGCCAGGCCCGUUUCUAUGCCCUUCCAGAUCUGAGGGAUGCUAUUACCUCGGAUACAGUUAUCAAAGGUAUUAUCUUAGUCUGCUACAGGAAUGCUUCUGUUUUAUUUAAUCCUGGAUCUACCUAGUCAUAUAUGUCCUCUUAUUUUGCUCAUCAUUUGGGUAUGACCCGUGGUUGUGUUUCCUUGUCCGUGCAUGUAUCUACCCCGGUGGGUGAUACUAUUAUUGUGGAUCAUGUCUAUCGAUCCUGUUNNNNNNNNNNNNNNNNNNNNNNNNNNNNNNNNNNNNNNNNNNNNNNNNNNNNNNNNNNNNNNNNNNNNNNNNNNNNNNNNNNNNNNNNNNNNNNNNNNNNNNNNNNNNNNNNNNNNNNNNNNNNNNNNNNNNNUUGAUCUAUUAUUAUUGGGCAUGGUGGAUUUUGAUGUAAUUUUGGGUAUGGAUUGGCUAUCUCCGUACCAUGCUAUUCUGGAUUGUCGUGAUAAGACAGUUACACUAGCUAUUCCGGGUAUUUCGAGGAUCGAGUGGCGAGGCGUGACUAACUAUGUACAUAGCAGGCUGAUUUCUUUCUUAAAAGCCCAACAGAUGGUUGGCAAGGGGUGUUUAUCAUAUUUGGCUUUCGUGAGAGAUAUGGAAGCCGAGGAUCCUAGCCUUGAUUCGAAUCCCGUUGUUAGGGAUUUUCCUGAUGUAUUUCCAGCGGACUUGCCAGGCAUGCCGCCGGACAAGGAAAGAUGUGGAAGCCGAGGCUCUUAGCCUUGAUUCGGUUCGCGUUGUUAGAAAGUUCCCUGAUGUAUUUCCAGCAGAAUUGUCGGGCAUGCCGCUGGACAGGGACAUUGACUUCGGUAUUGAUCUAGUACCGGGCACUCAGCCCAUCUCUAUUCCUCCCUAUUGUAUGGCACCAGCAGAGUUAAAAAAAUUGAAAGAACAACUUCAGGAACUCCUGGAUAAGGGGUUCAUCCGCCUGAGUAUGUCACCUUAGGGUGCACCGGUGUUAUUUGUAAAGAAUAAAGAUGGCACAAUUAGAAUGUGCAUUGACUACAAGCAACUGAAUAAGGUGACAUUGAAGAACAAGUACCCACUACCCCGUAUUGAGGAAUUAUUUGAUCAGCUACAGUGAGCGAGGGUAUUCUCUAAGAUUGACCUUUGAUCAGGCUAUCACCAGCUAAAAAUUAGGGAGUCAGACAUUAUGAAGACGGCUUUUAGGACAAAAUAUGGGCACUAUGAGUUUCUAGUGAUGUCUUUCGGGUUGACUAAUGACCCAGUUGUGUUCAUGCACUUGAUGAACAGUGUAUUUCGGCCGUAUAUUGGUUCUUUCUUGAUUGUGUUUAUUGAUGACAUUCUUGUGUAUCCGCGUAGCCAGGAGGAGCACGCACAUCACUUGAGGGUGGUCUUGCAGCGAUUGAGAGAGGAGAAGCUUUAUGCAAAAUUCUCUAAGUGUGAAUUCUGGCUUAAUACUGUGACUUUUUUGGGACACGUGGUGUCCAGUGAUGGUAUUCGGGUCGACCCAAAGAAGAUUGAGGUGGUGCAGAGUUGGCCCAGACCUUCCUCAACUACUGAGAUUCGGAGUUUCCUCGGUUUGGCGGGUUAUUACCGUAGAUUCAUUCAGGGUUUCUUAUCUAUUUUUUCGCCUUUGACGAAGUUGACUCAGAAGAAUGCUCCUUUUGUGUGGUCAGAUGAAUGCGAUGACAGCUUCCAGAAGCUCAAGUCGGCUUUGACCACAACUCCGAUAUUAGUAUUACCAUCAGCUUCAAGCUCUUACACUGUGUAUUGUGAUGCUUCAAGAGUUGGGAUCGGUUGUGUGUUGAUGCAGGAGGGUAUAUUUAUUGCGUAUGCUUCUCGUCAGCUAAAGCCUUAUGACAAGAACUAUCCAGUUCAUGACUUAGAGUUGGAUGGAAUUGUGCAUGCCUUAAAAAUUUGGAGGUAUUAUCUUUAUGAUGUAUCUUCUGAGGUAUAUACGGACCAUCGCAGUCUUCGAAAUUUGUUUAAACAGAAAGAUCUUAAUUUGAGACAGCGGAGAUGGCUGGAGUUACUCAAAGGCUAUGAUAUCACCAUUUUGUAUCAUCCCGGGAAGGCCAAUGUGGUGGCCGAUGCUUUGAGCUGGAAGGCUAUCAGCAUGAGUAAUCUGGCGUACAUUCCAGUUGGGGAGAGGCCCCUUGCGGUUGAUGUUCAGCCCUUGGCCAAUCAGAUGGUGAGAUUAGAUAUUUCUGAGCCGAGUCGGGUGUUGGCAAGUGUGAUUUCCUGGUCUUCUUUGUAUGACCGCAUCAGAUAGAGGCAGUAUGAUGACCCGUAUUUGCUUGUCCUGAAGGACAGGGUCCAGCAUGAUGAUGCCGGAGAUGUGACCAUUGGAGAUGAUGGCUUAUUGCGGAACCAAGGCUGGAUUUGCGUGCCCAAUCUGGAUGGUCUCUAGGAGUUGAUUUUAUAGAAGACUCAUAGCUCGCGGUAUUCGAUUCAUUCGGGUGCCGUGAAGACGUACUAGGAUUUGACACACCAUUACAGGUGGAGGAUAAUGAAAAAGGACAUUGUGAAUUACGUGGCUCGAUGUCUCAACUGUCAGCAAGUCAAAUACGAUCACCAAUGACCCGGUGGUGUAUUCCAGCGGAUGGAUAUUCCUGAGUGGAAAUGGAAAAAUAUUACUAUUGAUUUUGUGAUUGGUCUUCCUCAUACCUCGAAGAAGUUUGAUUCGGUUUGGGUGAUUGUGGAUAGGCUGACUAAGUUUGCGCACUUCAUUCCAGUAUAUACUACCUAUUUAGCGGAGAAGUUAACAGAGAUUUUUAUUUGGGAGAUUGUACGUUUUCAUGGGGUCUCGGUUUCCAUUGUAUCAGAUAGGGGUACCGUGUUUACUUCCUAGUUCUGGAGGACUUUUCAUCGGUAGUUGGGCACGGACUUAUAGUUGAGCACAACAUUUCACCCCUAGACCAAUGGACAAUGUGUGCGUACGAUUAAGAUAUUGGAGGACAUGUUACGUGCCUGUGCUAUUGAUUUUGGAGGUUCUUGGGCGGAAUUCUUGCCACUUGCGGAGUUUGCAUAUAAUAACAGCUAUCAAUCCAGCAUUAAGAUGGCGCUAUAUGAGGCCUUAUAUGGGAGACGGUGUAGAUCUCCGGUUGGUUGGUUUGUGCCCGGCGAGGCUAGAUUAUUGGGAACAGGUUUAGUUCAAGAUGCCUUAGAGAAGGUGAAAGUAAUCCAGGAGUGACUUCGCACGGCUCAGUCGCGUCAGAAUAGUUAUGCAGACCGGAAGAUUCGAGAUGUAUCUUAUGCAAUGGGUGAGAGAGUCUUGCUGAAGGUUUCACGACAGUGUUAGUUCAGGAUGCUUUAGAGAAGGUGAAAGUAUUCCAGGAGAGACUUCGUAUGGCUCAGUCGCGUCAGAAGAGUUAUGCAGAACGGAAGGUUCGAGAUGUAUCUUAUGCUGUGGGUGAAAAGGUCUUGUUAAAGGUUUCGCCUAUGAAAGGCAUUAUGAGGUUUGGAAAGAAAGGGAAGCUAAGUCCAAGGUUCAUUGGGCCUUUUGAAAUACUUAAGAAAUUGGGGAGGUGGCCUAUAUGCUUGCCUUGCCACGUAGCUUAUCGAGAAUCCACCCGGUGUUUCAUGUUUCUAUGCUCCGGAAGUAUGUUGGGGACCCGUCUCAUGUGUUAGACUUCAGCACGAUCCGGUUAGAUGAAGAUAUGACCUAUGAUGUGGAGCAGAUGGCUAUUUUGGGUCGUCAGGUUCGAAAGUUGAGAUCAAAGGACAUAACUUCGGUAAAGGUUCAGUGGAGAGGUCGGUCCGUGGAGGAAUCCACUUGAGAGACCGAGCAGGAGAUGCGAAGCAGAUAGCCUCACUUGUUUGAUAAUCCAGGUAUGUUUCUUGAUCCGCUCGAGGACGAGCAUUUGUAUAAGUUGGGGAGGAUGUAACGACCUGACCCGUCAUCCCGUGUAUUUCUACCCCGUUUUUCCCCUUUUAUGCAUUUAUAUGUCUCAAUAUUUGUAUUUGGAGAGUUUGGAGUAAUUCGGAUGGAGUUUUGAUAGAAAUGAAACAAUUAGUAUAUUUAAGAGAAAGUUAGUUUGGAAAGGUUAACUGAACGUUGACUUAUGAGUUAGAGGGCUCGGAAUGGAUUUCCGAUGAUUUAACUAGUUUUGGAUGAUGAUUUUUGACUUAGGAGCGAAAUCAGAAUGAAUUUAGAGACCAGUGUAGAAUUAGGCUUUAAUUGGCUAAGUUAGAAAUUUGGCGAAAUCCGGUUGAUAGGUGAUAUUUUGAUACGGGAGUCGGAAUAAAUUUCCGACAGUUGCAGUAGCUCCGUUAUGUGAUUUUGGAUAUGUGUACAGAUUUUCAGAUCAUUCGGAGGUGUUUAGGUCGGGUUUUUGAGCAAAUGCAAGUUUCGGAAGUUUUAGUUUAACUUAGCCUUGAAUCCGUGGAAAUUGGGUGAUUUUGAUGUUUAUGGUGGCGUUUUUAUGCUACGAGCAAGUUUGAAUGGAGUAUUAAGGAACAUAUGUGAUUUUGAUUGAGGUCCCGAGGUCCUCGGGAUGAAUUCGGAUGGCCAACAGAGAGUUUUAACUUGAAAAUGCGUAGCAGAAAAUGUAGCAACAGUGCAGGCCUAUUUUGGCCUUCGCGAUCGCGAAGGAAGGCUCGUGUUCGUGUAGAGUUAAUGUCCUAAAGCAUUGCGUUCGCGUACAGCAGAUCACGUUCGCGUAUUGUUAGUAGGUGAAGCAUCGCGUUUGCAUAGAAGGGCCUUGGGUCCAUGCCUGGUUUUGCUCAACGCGAACGCGUGGCCGGAUCAUGUUCGCGUAGAAGGGAUGACUCAAAGCAUCGCUAUCGCGAUGGUGUUUCCGCGUUCGAGAAGAGAAACUGGCGGGUUAGCGAAAUUUGUUCAUCGCGAACGCGAGGCUUGGACCACGUUCGCGUAGGGUUAAAUCUGGGCAACAGAAGGGUUUUAUAUGUUAUUUCAUCCGCGAACCAAACAUAUUUUCCACCAUUGUUAAGCAACCAAGAGAGCUUUUUGAGUGAUUUGAAGUGGGUUUUCAAUGGGUAUCGAUUGGAGGUAAGUCUAUUGGCUUAAAAACAUCAUUUUUAGGAAGAAUCAACCUCAAAUUUCAUGAAAUUGUGUAGAAAUUGUGAAGAACUAGGGUUUUAUUUUUAGAAACGAAUUUUGGGGAUUUGAAGGGUCAAACUUACUCCGGUUUUUGUGAACUUUAUAUAUACGGACUAGUGGCGAGACGAGAAAUCCAAAAAUAUAAUAUUCAGAAUUUUUCUGUAAGUGGGCUCGGGGCUCGGGUUUUUCCAACUUCGUGAUUUUUAAUGUUUUUAGAUAAUUUCAAUUGGUUAUGUUUAUUUGGCCUAUAAUAACCUAUUUUUUGUGGUUUUGAAUAGAUCUGGCGCUCGUAGGAGAAUAUUUGAAGGGAAAAGGCAUUACAGACCAUGCUACGACCUGUUAGAGGUGAGUAGUUUGUAUAGAUGAUGGCCUGAGGGUUUCAAACCCCGGUUUAUCACAUCGUGACGCUAUGUUAGGUCAUGAAUCGCAUCCCAUGGCAGGUGCAGGGUUGUAAAUGAUUGAGGAUUGUGACUGGUCCAUCCCGAAAGCUGAACAAAUUAUUGGCGUCUAAUACGCACAUUGUGGUAUUGAUAAUUACGCUUAAUGCCAUGUUUGGGGCCUUGUGCCGAUCAAUAGUACCCGUCUGGAGUGUAUAUCUGUGUGAUAACAUGAUUGUAUAAUCAUUGUUCUCAGUGCUAUGUUUAAUCGGUGAAAUGAAAUGCUAAGUCACUUUUUCUGAAAUUUAAUAAUUAAAUUAUAUUUGCCUUAAAAAUCAAAAAAAAAGAUUGACAUCAAGCAAGACCGAACGCGAUAGCCUGCACCCGCUGGGAACUUAAAUUGAAUCUGUUUAUGUGACUCAUAUACAUAUUGUGGACUAAGCAUGGGUUGGGCUGCACGAUCCGCAAGGAUAUAUAUUGAUAUUGUGUUUGGGCUGAAGGAGCACUUCCGGAGUCUGUACGCAAACCCAGUGAGCGCUGUCAGCGUUAAAUGGAUCGGGCUGCACGUUCCGCAGCGAAUUUAUGUGCAUUGCAUUGCAUUUUUAUCUGAUACUUGGUUGUUGUU
rnacentral:lncRNA from 1 species